UACGUAGGGACCGAGCGUUGUCCGGAAUCAUUGGGCGUAAAGAGCGUGUAGGCGGCUUGCUAAGUCUUGCGUGAAAUCUCGGGGCUCAACCCCGAGCGGUCGUGGGAAACUGGCAGGCUAGAGUGCGGGAGAGGAGAAUGGAAUUGCCUGGUGUAGCGGUGAAAUGCGCAGAUAGUCAGGAAGAACACCCGUGGCGAAGGCGGUUCUCUGGAACGCAACUGACGCUGAGACGCGAAAGCGUGGGAGCAAACAGG
rnacentral:rRNA from 1 species